rnacentral:pre_miRNA from 1 species
AGGAGGAACAGCCCCAGUGGCGGGGCAGCUCUGGAAACCUGGAUUCAGCUCCGGCAGGAACUCCGUCUGCAGGGCCUGGAGGCUCCGGGCCGGG